AUUGAACGCUGGCGGCAUGCUUUACACAUGCAAGUCGAACGGUAACAGGCCGCAAGGUGCUGACGAGUGGCGAACGGGUGAGUAAUGCAUCGGAACGUGCCCAGUCGUGGGGGAUAACUACUCGAAAGAGUAGCUAAUACCGCAUACGAUCUAUGGAUGAAAGCGGGGGUCCGUAAGGCCUCGCGCGAUUGGAACGGCCGAUGUCAGAUUAGGUAGUUGGUGGGGUAAAGGCCCACCAAGCCAACGAUCUGUAGCUGGUCUGAGAGGACGACCAGCCCCACUGGGACUGAGACACGGCCCAGACUCCUACGGGAGGCAGCAGUGGGGAAUUUUGGACAAUGGGCGCAAGCCUGAUCCAGCAAUGCCGCGUGCAGGAAGAAGGCCUUCGGGUUGUAAACUGCUUUUGUACGGAACGAAACGGCUCUGGUUAAUACCCGGGGCUAAUGACGGUACCGUAAGAAUAAGCACCGGCUAAGUACGUG
rnacentral:rRNA from 1 species